rnacentral:rRNA from 1 species
AGUGAACGCUGGCGGUAGGCCUAACACAUGCAAGCCGAACGGCAGCACAGUAAGAGCUUGCUCUUACGGGUGGCGAGUGGCGGACGGGUGAGGAAUACAUCGGAAUCUACUUUUUCGUGGGGGAUAACGUAGGGAAACUUACGCUAAUACAGCAUACGACCUACGGGUGAAAGCAGGGGAUCUUCGGACCUUGCGCGAUUGAAUGAGCCGAUGUCGGAUUAGCUAGUUGGCGGGGUAAAGGCCCACCAAGGCGACGAUCCGUAGCUGGUCUGAGAGGAUGAUCAGCCACACUGGAACUGAGACACGGUCCAGACUCCUACGGGAGGCAGCAGUGGGGAAUAUUGGACAAUGGGCGCAAGCCUGAUCCAGCCAUACCGCGUGGGUGAAGAAGGCCUUCGGGUUGUAAAGCCCUUUUGUUGGGAAAGAAAAGCAGCAGGUUAAUACCCCGCUGUUCUGACGGUACCCAAAGAAUAAGCACCGGCUAACUUCGUG